GAUGAACGCUAGCUACAGGCUUAACACAUGCAAGUCGAGGGGUAGCAGGGUAGCAAUACCCCUGACGACCGGCGCACGGGUGAGUAACACGUAUCCAACCUUCCCAUAACUCGGGGAUAGCCUUUCGAAAGAAAGAUUAAUACCCGAUAGUACUUUAUUAAGGCAUCUUAAGAAAGUUAAAGAUUUAUUGGUUAUGGAUGGGGAUGCGUUCCAUUAGAUAGUUGGUGAGGUAACGGCUCACCAAGUCUUCGAUGGAUAGGGGUUCUGAGAGGAAGGUCCCCCACAUUGGUACUGAGACACGGACCAAACUCCUACGGGAGGCAGCAGUGAGGAAUAUUGGUCAAUGGGCGAGAGCCUGAACCAGCCAAGUAGCGUGAAGGAUGAAGGUCCUAUGGAUUGUAAACUUCUUUUAUAGUAGAAUAAAGUGAACCACGUGUGGUUUUUUGUAUGUAUACUAUGAAUAAGGAUCGGCUAACUCCGUGCCAGCCGCCGCCGUAA
rnacentral:rRNA from 1 species